rnacentral:rRNA from 1 species
GGUGCUGAUUGCGUUCAGGUUCCACCUGUUCCCAUGCCGAACACAGAAGUUAAGCUGAAUUUCGCCGAAAAUACUUGGGUGGCGACGCCCCGGAAAGAUAGGUAGGUGCC